ensembl:lncRNA
UAGUAAACACUGUUUUUCUCUCCAAUAGGUCGUUAUGAAUGUCAGUACAGUACAAGCAGUGGACUCCAUAUCCUGUGGGACGACAUUGACUACAUCAAGCCUUACCCCAAUAUUCAAACAAGUCCUAACAGGUCUUAUAAGUGUCAGCCUAGUAAUCUUGUUCAGCUCACCUGCUGUGUGUAUGUGGAUUAUGACGUGCAGCUGGUAAACGACAAAGAUCAAAUUCUACCUUCCACUCAGUCUUUGCAGCCUGAUUUACAGCAAAAGUGCAUCCAAUACUCCUUCUCAGUAACACAAAGCUGCGGUUCAACACUGAAGUUCCUUUGCAGACUUGCCCAUGGAAAUUUACAAACAUUCUCAUACAGUUCAAGAACAAUAGAGCUGAAGAUUUCCGCAGCUCUUCCAGUUUCAUCUGCCAACGCACCUGUGACAUGUGAGGAUGAAGUGUACGGGUUUGGUAACGUGGGAGACACCGGUGUUGGACAGUGUGAUGCUACUGAAGUGGGCAGUAAAACUGCGAAGUGUGGAGACGAUGGAAAGUGGAAAACUGUCCAAAACAACUGCGUCCUUCGAGUCUUUCAAAUGCUGAAACAAGAAUCUCAGGUAAUGUCAACUGUUACCAUAGUACCAAAGUACUUUACAUUGAUAAAUUAAGUUUAGAUGCUUGUGUGACGAGCAUUGUGUGCUGGACGAGGCAGGAGGCGGUGGGUAUAACUGCUAGUCUAGUUUACUAAACUGAAAACACUCACCGACGACCAAAACAGCAAACCAAACAAACUGAGGACAGAAACAGUGGAGAAUAAACACCACCGUUACAGCUGUGACCGGAAUUCUGCGAGGAGGUAUUCCUUAAAGGAGCCUUGUUGUAAACACAUGGAGA